GUUUCUUGUGGCAUGUGCAAUCAAUUUUCCUAUAGAUGAAGAUCUCAGUCACAACUUGUCAAUAAUUGGAAUUCUCAUGUACAUUUUAGCCUUUGCAAUUGGAGCUGGUCCAGUAACUGGUAUUAUCAUACCAGAACUUAGCAGUGCCAAGAUGCGUGGAAAGAUUAUGGGAUUCAGUUUUUCUGUUCAUUGGGUAUGCAAUUUCUUGGUGGGGCUGUUCUUCCUGGAUAUGGUGGAGAUUUUUGGGGUUGCUCCUGUCUAUGCUGGCUUUGGCAGUGUUUCCUUGUUAGCUGCUGUAUUUGCUAAUUAUUUCAUAAUCGAGACUAAGGGACGCACUCUUGAGGAGAUCGAAAUGUCAAUAAACGCGAAUUUAGCAGCCAGAGACAAGC
rnacentral:misc_RNA from 1 species